rnacentral:rRNA from 1 species
AGGAUUUGGCAUGGGCGAAAGCCUGAUCCGCAAUGCCGCGUGUGUGAAGAAGGCCUUCGGGUUGUAAAGCACUUUUGUCCGGAAAGAAAUCCUUUGGGUUAAUACCUCGGGGGGAUGACGGUACCGGAAGAAUGAGCACCGGCUAACUCCGUGCCAGCAGCCGCGGUAAUACGGAGGGAGCUAGCGUUAUUCGGAAUUACUGGGCGUAAAGCGCACGUAGGCGGCUUUGUAAGUUAGAGGUGAAAGCCUGGAGCUCAACUCCAGAAUUGCCUUUAAGACUGCAUCGCUUGAAUCCAGGAGAGGUGAGUGGAACUCCGAGUGUAGAGGUGAAAUUCGUAGAUAUUCGGAAGAACACCAGUGGCGAAGGCGGCUCACUGGACUGGUAUUGACGCUGAGGUGCGAAAGCGUGG